rnacentral:rRNA from 1 species
AUUGAACGCUGGCGGCAGGCCUAACACAUGCAAGUCGAGCGAGCGGCGGACGGGUGAGUAAUGUCUGGGAAACUGACUGAUGGUGGGGGAUAACUACUGGAAACGGUAGCUAAUACCCACUUCCAUCAGAACUGCCCAGAUGGGAUUAGCUAGUAGGUGGGGUAACGGAUCACCUAGGCGACGAUCCCUAGCUGGUCUGAUAGGAUGACCAGCCACACUGGAACUGAGACACGGUCCAGACUCCUACGGGAGGCAGCAGUGGGGAAUAUUGCACAAUGGGCGCAAGCCUGAUGCAGCCAUGCCGCGUGUGUGAAGAAGGCCUUCGGGUUGUAAAGCACUUUCAGUGGGGAGGCGUUACCCGCAGAAGAAGCACCGGCUAACUCCGUGCCAGCAGCCGCGGUAAUUC